AUCACUUCUCGGCCUUUUGGCUAAGAUCAAGUGUAGUAUCUGUUCUUAUCAGUUUAAUAUCUGAUACAUCCUCUAUCUGAGGACAAUAUAUUAAAUGGAUUUUUGGAACAGGGAGAUGGAAUAGGAGCUUGCUCCUCCACUCCACGCAUCAACCUGGUAUUGCAGUACCUCCAGGAACAGUGCACAGAAA
rnacentral:snRNA from 1 species